AACUCCUCAAUACCAUUCAUUUGACUGGUGGUUGGAUGUUGAAGGUCUGCUGGUAAAUCCCAUCAUCAGCUCCUUUUAAAUACAUGAGCAGAACUACAUGCAACCAGCUCCAAUUUGAUAAGCUUGUUAUCUUUGUUGCUGCUGGGAAUGAAUAAUGUAAUUGUCUGCUACUAGCUGUCCUGACCAUUGGGACUUGCCUAAUGGGCAACAUUUGAAC
rnacentral:misc_RNA from 1 species